CCUAGCAAUUCCUCCAGCCCACCGAUCCUCUCCCUCAUCACCUCCUUCAGCGUCGCCGUUGCCGGUGAAGCCACGGCCGGUGCCGACGAUGACGUCCCCGUGCGGGUUUCUUCUCGAUCGAAGCCCUUCGCCAAGAGAACGUCGUUCUUCGCAUAGUUAAGAACGACCUCUCCAAACACCUCUCCAAAAUCCGCAACGGCCGAGCCAUCAGGACUACUGAAGGGGCGGAAGAAGAAGGAGCAACAAAGAGAGGAACUCCAGCGACCGGAUUUCUGGGUAGAGACAUCUAAUUCUUUAUCUCAUCAGUUUCAGUAAAACAAAGCUCAAGAAUGAAGAAUUUGGGUGACUGAAGAAUAUAGCUUUGAUGCUGAUGAAAUGAUGCUCAAUAAGAUUAAGUAAUUUGGUAGCUUCUAUUGCCUUGGAUGGUGAGUUACCAGGUUUGCAUACCAAAGAGACCCCUGGCAUUAGAAAGGAGACAACUACAACGGUGACUAUUUCAAACAAUGAAUAGACCUUGUAUUCACACUGCAAAUGAAGUAGCCUUCAUGAAAAUACAACUUCUAGAAAUUGAAGCGAAGCAAUCAAAUGUACUAGAUCUCUUGAAGGUUCAUCAUCUGGCACACUACAGGCUGAGAUUAGAGAUUUGCAUCAAAUUCGUACUCAAGUCCAAGAUCAUGAGGAGAGGUUCUAACAGACUCUUAGUCAAGUACAAGAUCAUGAGGAGAGGCUUCGACAAAGUUUGCUUGAAAUGAAAGAGGAGAAGGACCAAUAUUGUAAGGAGACGAUGCGUCAAAUGAAGGACAUGAUGAUGAGUUUUGAGAAGAGGAUUCUUCAGCAGUCGUAGUUUACCAAAUAGGACUCACAGCCAUUUAUUGACAAUCAUUAUUUUGAUCUUCAUGAUUUAU